AUCUUAAUCUGUUAAAAACUGGCUCAUUGAUCAUGGCAAUACUAGUAAUAGCAUUCACGUUACAGGAUGGAACUUCACAUUACUUAAAGGGGCUUGUUCCCUUGCUGUGCUACUUGGCAAUUGGUGCAUGCUUCUUUGUUUUCAAAUCCCCACUUGAGUAAGUCU